rnacentral:rRNA from 1 species
AUUGAACGCUGGCGGCAGGCCUAACCCAUGCAAGUCGCGCGAGCGGCGGACGGGUGAGUAAUGUCUGGGGAUCUGCCUGAUGGAGGGGGAUAACUCCUGGAAACGGUAGCUAAUACCGCAUACCAUCAGAUGAACCCAUAUGGGAGUAGCUUGUAGGUAAGGUAACGGCUUACCGAGGCGACGAUCCCUGGCUGGUCUGAGAGGAUGAUCAGCCACACUGGGACUGCGACACGGCCCAGACUCCUACGGGAGGCAGCAGUGGGGAAGAUUGCACAAUGGGCGGAAGCCUGAUGCAGCCAUGCCGCGUGUAUGAAGAAGGCCUUCGGGUUGUAAAGUACUUUCAGUCGGGAGGCGUUAACGACAGAAGAAGCACCGGCUAACUCCGUGCCAGCCGCCGCGGUAAUUC